rnacentral:rRNA from 1 species
AUGAAGGACGUUACUAACGACGAUAUGCUUUGGGGAGCUGUAAGUAAGCUUUGAUCCAGAGAUUUCCGAAUGGGGAAACCCAGCAUGAGUUAUGUCAUGUUAUCGAUAUGUGAAUACAUAGCAUAUCAGAAGGCACACCCGGAGAACUGAAACAUCUUAGUACCCGGAGGAAGAGAAAGAAAAUUCGAUUCCCUUAGUAGCGGCGAGCGAAACGGGAAGAGCCCAAACCAACAAGCUUGCUUGUUGGGGUUGUAGGACACUCUAUACGGAGUUACAAAGGACGACAUUAGACGAAUCAUCUGGAAAGAUGAAUCAAAGAAGGUAAUAAUCCUGUAGUCGAAAAUGUUGUCUCUCUUGAGUGGAUCCUGAGUACGACGGAGCACGUGAAAUUCCGUCGGAAUCUGGGAGGACCAUCUCCUAAGGCUAAAUACUCUCUAGUGACCGAUAGUGAACCAGUACCGUGAGGGAAAGGUGAAAAGCACCCCGGAAGGGGAGUGAAAUAGAACCUGAAACCGUGUGCUUACAAGUAGUCAGAGCCCGUUAAUGGGUGAUGGCGUGCCUUUUGUAGAAUGAACCGGCGAGUUACGAUUUGAUGCAAGGUUAAGCAGUAAAUGUGGAGCCGUAGCGAAAGCGAGUCUGAAUAGGGCGUUUAGUAUUUGGUCGUAGACCCGAAACCAGGUGAUCUACCCUUGGUCAGGUUGAAGUUCAGGUAACACUGAAUGGAGGACCGAACCGACUUACGUUGAAAAGUGAGCGGAUGAACUGAGGGUAGCGGAGAAAUUCCAAUCGAACCUGGAGAUAGCUGGUUCUCUCCGAAAUAGCUUUAGGGCUAGCCUCAAGUGAUGAUUAUUGGAGGUAGAGCACUGUUUGGACGAGGGGCCCCUCUCGGGUUACCGAAUUCAGACAAACUCCGAAUGCCAAUUAAUUUAACUUGGGAGUCAGAACAUGGGUGAUAAGGUCCGUGUUCGAAAGGGAAACAGCCCAGACCACCAGCUAAGGUCCCAAAAUAUAUGUUAAGUGGAAAAGGAUGUGGCGUUGCCCAGACAACUAGGAUGUUGGCUUAGAAGCAGCCAUCAUUUAAAGAGUGCGUAAUAGCUCACUAGUCGAGUGACACUGCGCCGAAAAUGUACCGGGGCUAAACAUAUUACCGAAGCUGUGGAUUGUCCUUUGGACAAUGGUAGGAGAGCGUUCUAAGGGCGUUGAAGCAUGAUCGUAAGGACAUGUGGAGCGCUUAGAAGUGAGAAUGCCGGUGUGAGUAGCGAAAGACGGGUGAGAAUCCCGUCCACCGAUUGACUAAGGUUUCCAGAGGAAGGCUCGUCCGCUCUGGGUUAGUCGGGUCCUAAGCUGAGGCCGACAGGCGUAGGCGAUGGAUAACAGGUUGAUAUUCCUGUACCACCUAUAAUCGUUUUAAUCGAUGGGGGGACGCAGUAGGAUAGGCGAAGCGUGCGAUUGGAUUGCACGUCUAAGCAGUAAGGCUGAGUAUUAGGCAAAUCCGGUACUCGUUAAGGCUGAGCUGUGAUGGGGAGAAGACAUU